rnacentral:rRNA from 1 species
CCUACGGGAGGCAGCAGUGGGGAAUUUUGGACAAUGGGCGAAAGCCUGAUCCAGCAAUGCCGCGUGUGGGAAGAAGGCCUUCGGGUUGUAAACCACUUUUGUACGGAACGAAAAGGUCUGCUUUAAUAAAGCGGGCUCAUGACGGUACCGUAAGAAUAAGCACCGGCUAACUACGUGCCAGCAGCCGCGGUAAUACGUAGGGUGCGAGCGUUAAUCGGAAUUACUGGGCGUAAAGCGUGCGCAGGCGGUUAUAUAAGACAGUUGUGAAAUCCCCGGGCUCAACCUGGGAAUUGCAUCUGUGACUGUAUAGCUAGAGUACGGUAGAGGGGGAUGGAAUUCCGCGUGUAGCAGUGAAAUGCGUAGAUAUGCGGAGGAACACCGAUGGCGAAGGCAAUCCCCUGGACCUGUACUGACGCUCAUGCACGAAAGCGUGGGGAGCAAACAGGAUUAGAUACCCUGGUAGUCCACGCCCUAAACGAUGUCAACUGGUUGUUGGGUGNAUAGUACUCAGUAACGAAGACUACGCGUGAGUGACCACCGUGGGAGGUACGGCCGCGAGUAGAACGACAANAGAGUAGACGGCGUGAGAGNGCCGACGGACGACGACGAGGGAGGAGG